rnacentral:rRNA from 1 species
AUUGAACGCUGGCGGCAUGCCUUACACAUGCAAGUCGAACGGUAACAGGUCUUCGGAUGCUGACGAGUGGCGAACGGGUGAGUAAUACAUCGGAACGUGCCCAGACGUGGGGGAUAACGAGGCGAAAGCUUUGCUAAUACCGCAUACGAUCUAAGGAUGAAAGCAGGGGACCGCAAGGCCUUGCGCGUUUGGAGCGGCCGAUGGCAGAUUAGGUAGUUGGUGGGAUAAAAGCUUACCAAGCCGACGAUCUGUAGCUGGUCUGAGAGGACGACCAGCCACACUGGGACUGAGACACGUCCCAGACUCCUACGGGAGGCAGCAGUGGGGAAUUUUGGACAAUGGGCGAAAGCCUGAUCCAGCAAUGCCGCGUGCAGGAUGAAGGCCUUCGGGUUGUAAACUGCUUUUGUACGGAACGAAAAGGCUCUGGCUAAUACCUGGGGCACAUGACGGUACCGUAAGAAUAAGCACCGGCUAACUACGUG